rnacentral:rRNA from 1 species
AACGAACGCUGGCGGCAGGCCUAACACAUGCAAGUCGAGCGAGCAUUUCGGUGAUAGCGGCGGACGGGUGAGUAACGCGUGGGAACGUGCCCUUUUCUGCGGAAUAGUCCUGGGAAACUGGGGGUAAUACCGCAUACGCCCUUUUGGGGAAAGAUUUAUCGGAGAAGGAUCGGCCCGCGUUGGAUUAGGUAGUUGGUGGGGUAAUGGCCCACCAAGCCGACGAUCCAUAGCUGGUUUGAGAGGAUGAUCAGCCACACUGGGACUGAGACACGGCCCAGACUCCUACGGGAGGCAGCAGUGUGGGAUCUUAGACAAUGGAGGCAACCCUGAUCUAGCCAUGCCGCGUGAGUGAUGAAGGCCUUAGGGUUGUAAAGCUCUUUCAGCUGCGAAGAUUAUGACGGUACCAGCAGAAGAAGCACCGGCUAACUCCGUG